AACGAACGCUGGCGGCGUGCCUAACACAUGCAAGUCGAACGAGAAAGUUUCCUUCGGGAAACCAGUAAAGUGGCGCAAGGGUGAGUAACACGUGAAUAAUCUGCCUAUGAAUUCGGGAUAAACUCGACGAAAGUUGUGCUAAUACCGGAUAAGACCACAUUUCUUAAGGGAUGUGGCCAAAGGAGCCUCAAGUUCCGUUUGUAGAUGAGUUCGCGAACCAUUAGCUUGUUGGCGGGAUAACAGCCACCAAGGCGACGAUGGUUAGCCGGCCUGAGAGGGUGAUCGGCCACACUGGAACUGAGACACGGUCCAGACUCCUACGGGAGGCAGCAGUGGGGAAUUUUCCGCAAUGGGCGAAAGCCUGACGGAGCAACGCCGCGUGAGGGACG
rnacentral:rRNA from 1 species